UACGUAGGGCGCAAGCGUUGUCCGGAAUCAUUGGGCGUAAAGAGCGUGUAGGCGGCCCGGUAAGUCCGCUGUGAAAGUCCAGGGCUCAACCCUGGGAUGCCGGUGGAUACUGUCGGGCUCGAGUCCGGAAGAGGAGUGUGGAAUUCCUGGUGUAGCGGUGAAAUGCGCAGAUAUCAGGAAGAACACCCGUGGCGAAAGCGGCUCUCUAGGACGGUACUGACGCUGAGACGCGAAAGCGUGGGGAGCGAACAGG
rnacentral:rRNA from 1 species